GACGUAGGGCGCAAGCGUUGUCCGGAUUUAUUGGGCGUAAAGAGCUCGUAGGCGGCCUGUCGCGUCGACCGUGAAAACCCGCAGCUCAACUGCGGGCUUGCGGUCGAUACGGGCAGGCUCGAGUUCGGUAGGGGAGACUGGAAUUCCUGGUGUAGCGGUGAAAUGCGCAGAUAUCAGGAGGAACACCGGUGGCGAAGGCGGCGACCUGGUCCGAUACUGACGCUGAGGCGCGAAGGCGUGGGGAGCAAACAGG
rnacentral:rRNA from 1 species